UUUUCAAUGUUCCUUUCACUCCUAACCUUAUCCUCUCUUUGCUAAUCUACCUACAACACAAGAUCAAAAACCCAGACACACUUUAUCCCCCCAUCUCUCAUUUACAGACAUAAUAAUACACACACAAGACCCUACACGCAACCACAACCUCCAUAUCCUCUACAAACCCUCAUCCACAGUCGAUCUCUCCCUCCCUCACACAUGGUCGCCAGAAUCCGGCGACAGUGCCGGCCAGCUGUGGUCAAUCUCUGGUCACGCACAUCGCAAUGACACCCCCUUCUCCUUCUUAAAAAAAAAAAAAAACCUUGGCCACCGGCUUCCUCUGUGUUUCUCCGACACACCUCUCACACUUGCAGAUUUGAAGCGAAAAGAAAAAAAAUGGAAAAGAGGGGGAGCCGCCGCACACGACGGCGGCGGCAGAGGCGACGUGGGUUAUCAGCAUCGACGGAGAGAGAGAAGCGGGCGAGAGAAAGAACGGCCGGAGGUAGAGGUGGUUGAUGGUCGGAGCUCUGGCCGUCGGAGAACAUCGGACGGCGGCACUACAACUAUGAUGGUGAGUAUGUUUUGAUUCAGUUCUGGUUCGUGUCACAUCUCGGCUCAGGUUAGAUUCGUUUCAGCUCGGGUAACCCGUGGAUGUUUUGGGACAGUUUGGUUCGAGUUAUUUUUAGUUUUGUUUCGGGUUAUAAUUCGGGUGUUAUGGCUUCAGUUUUGUUUCCAGAGCGGGUUUCGUUUCAUGGGUUCAAAUUUUGUUUGGAUGUUCGGGUUGGAUACGAGUCAACUCAGUUUCGGCUCAGUCAAGAUCGGUCAAAACAGGUCAACAAAAGUUAACUCGGGUCAACAAGGCGGACCAGUUCAGUUUCAGUCAAAAAUUGGUUUAUUCGGGUUCGGCUCAGUGAAGGAUUUACUUGGUUAGGGUUCUGAUUAAACACGGUUCGACUCGGUCGAUUCAACCGGUCAACUCAGUUGACCAGGUCAGACCUGGUCAACUCAUAAGUCAACUCAGUUGACGCUAAGACCCGGAAUGCUUUAGUUGCACGCUAGCGAGGUCACAUUCGUGGGAUGACACUACGGAAUCACAUUUAGCUAGCUAUGCACAGGAAUAUACAGGUUACAUUGUCAAAACUACGGAACGGUUGGAAUAGAAGAUCCCACGGGAUUUCGAGUAAUUAGCGAGCGUUCAUUUUUUAGAAGUCUUAGCUUUUUGCUUCCGCUGUGCAAUGAAGAUACCGGUCCAGUCACGCCAGCUCUGAUAUUUCGGGGUGUGACACGAAAACCAUUAAAUUUCAAGUUGGAGAUAAGGUACUAUUGAAACUCUCACCAUGGAAAGGAUUCGUAAGAUUUGGUAAGAAAGGAAAGCUAAGCCCAACGUAUAUUGGACCUUUUGGGAUUAUCAAAAGAAUAUGACCAAUAGCGUAUCAGCUACAAUUGCCAGAAGAAAUGGCAGGAAUACAUGAUGUAUUUUAUAUAUCUAACCUCAAGAAGUGCUUAGCAGACGAAUCACUGAUGAUACCUCUUCAAGAAAUAAAGGUGAAUGAGAAGCUUAAAUUUGUUGAAAAGCCAAUUCAGAUUGAAGAUAUAAAGAUCAAAAUUCUCAAGCACAAGAGAUUAGUUCUGGUCAAAGUAAAAUGGGAUUCAAAGAGAGGACCAGAGUACACAUGGGAGCUCGAAUCAGAAAUGCAAAAGAGAUAUCCAUACCUAUUCCAGUGAAUCUAGAGGACGAGAUUUGAACCAAGGUAACUUGAUGUGAAGAUGUUAAAAGCUAACUAUGGAGCACUGAAGGCUUAAAGAAAGUGGCUAUAAAGUUACCUAAAUAAAAAGUUUACGUUUUUAGCAACUAGGGUUUAUCCCUAUAAAGAUAUUAUAAAUGAAAUAUGGAUUUUAUCCCAUUAGUUUAAUAUAAAAGUUUGGUGUUUUGAAA